GAAUCUUCCGCAAUGGACGAAAGUCUGACGGAGCAACGCCGCGUGAGUGAAGAAGGCUUUCGGAUCGUAAAACUCUUUUGUCGGAGAAGAACAAGUAGGUGAGUACCUGUUCCUACCUUGCCGGUACCCGACCAGAAAGCCCCGGCCAACUACGUGCCAGCAGCCGCGGUAAUACGUAGGUGGCAAGCGUUGUCCGGAUUUAGUGGGCGUAAAGCGAGCGCAGGUGGUUGCUGAAGUCUGAGGUGAAAGCCAACGGCUCAACCGUGGAAGGUCAUUGGAAACUGGGGAACUUGAAUGCAGAAGAGGAGAGUGGAAUUCCAUGUGUAGCGGUGAAAUGCGUAGAUAUAUGGAGGAAGACCAGUGGCGAAGGCGACUCUCUGGUCUGUUAUUGACACUGAGGCUCGAAAGCGUGGGGAGCAAACA
rnacentral:rRNA from 1 species